rnacentral:rRNA from 1 species
UCCUACGGGAGGCAGCAGUGGGGGAAUAUUGCACAAGUGGGGGAAAACCCUGAUGCACGCCAUGCCGCGUGUGUGAAGAAGGACCUUCGGGUUGUAAAGCACUUUCAGUAGGGAGGAAGGUAGUGUAGUUAACACCUGCAUUAUUUGACGUUACCUACAGAAGAAGCACCGGCUAACUCCGUGCCAGCAGCCGCGGUAAUACGGAGGGUGCGAGCGUUAAUCGGAAUUACUGGGCGUAAAGCGCAUGCAGGCGGCCUGUUAAGUCAGAUGUGAAAGCCCGGGGCUUAACCUCGGAAUUGCAUUUGAAACUGGCAGGCUAGAGUCUUGUAGAGGGGGUAGAAUUUCAGGUGUAGCGGUGAAAAUGCGUAGAGAUCUGAAGGAAUACCAGUGGCGAAGGCGGCCCCCUGGACAAAGACUGACGCUCAGAUGCGAAAGCGUGGGGAGCAAACAGGAUUAGAUACCCUGGUAG